rnacentral:ncRNA from 1 species
ACAAGGCUUGGUCCUGACUUUACUAUCAGCUCUAGCUCGAUUUAUACAUGCAAGUAUCUGCGCCCCUGUGAGAAUGCCCUCAAUCCCCCGCCCGGGGACAAGGAGCGGGCAUCAGGCACCUAAACAGAGCCCAAGACGCCUUGCUUAGCCACACCCCCAAGGGAACUCAGCAGUAAUAAACAUUAAGCCAUAAGUGAAAACUUGACUUAGUCAGAGCUAAGAGGGCCGGUAAAAUUCGUGCCAGCCACCGCGGUUAUACGAAAGGCCCCAGUUGAUAGCCGCGGCGUAAAGGGUGGUUAAGGUAAUUUAAUAAAUAAAGCUGAACAGUCUCUAGGCCGUUGUACGCAUGACGAGAGCUAGAAGCCCGAAUACGAAAGUUGCUUUAAAAUAUAAACACCUGACUCCACGAAAGCUAAGAAACAAACUGGGAUUAGAUACCCCACUAUGCUUAGCCCUAAACCAAGAUGUGCUCUUACACAUCCGCCCGGGUACUACGAGCACAGCUUAAAACCCAAAGGACUUGGCGGUGCAUCAGACCCACCUAGAGGAGCCUGUUCUAGAACCGAUAAUCCCCGUUAAACCUCACCACUUCUUGUUUACCCCGCUUAUAUACCGCCGUCGUCAGCUUACCCCGUAAGGGCUUAACAGUAAGCAAAAUUGGUGUACCCAAAAACGUCAGGUCGAGGUGUAGCGAAUGAAGUGGGAAGAAAUGGGCUACAUUUUCUAUAUACAGAAUAUUUACGGAUGGCACCCUGAAAACAUGCCUGAAGGUGGAUUUAGUAGUAAAAAGCAAAUAGCGUGUCCUUUUGAAUUAGGCUCUGAAGCGCGCACACACCGCCCGUCACCCUCCCCAAUUAAACUCUUAUUAACAAUUACUAAUAAAUUAUUUUUAUCACGGGGAGGCAAGUCGUAACAUGGUAAGUGUACCGGAAGGUGCACUUGGAGUAAAUU